UCUCCAAUACUUACUUAUUAUUCAACCUCACUUAUACUUUUGCUCAACAACUAAAUACAACCUUGUAUUCAAGUAUUCAAAUUAAGAAGAAUUUAGCCAAGUACAAGCAAUUCUUAUUUUUCUUCUUCUUUUUUAUCAUUGGUGCAUACUAAUCCAUCUUCAUUUACAUGAUUUAAUAUCUUCCCACAAGUUCAUGGUUGGUAUAUAUGUCAACCAUUUUCAACUUGGAUAGCAGCUCAUUAAAUUGCUGGGGAUGUAAGGCCUUAGUAAAGAAAUUAGCUAAUUGAUUUUUGGACUUUAUGGACAGCAAUUUCAUGAUUCAUUUGCUUUGCUUCUCUCUCACUAUAUGACAAUCAAUUUCCAAGUGUUUUGUUCUCUUAUAAAAUACUGGAUUAGCUGCAAUAUGUAAAGCACUUUAAUUAUCACAGUAUAUGACUGGUGUCCUUGUGCAUUUUAUCUUCAAAUCAUCUAUGAGAUACAAAACCCACUAUAGUUCACAAGUGGAAGUUGCAAGGGCUCUGUACUCAGUUUUUGAUGAGGAUCUCGAGAUUGUCAACUGUUUCUUGCUUCUCCACGAAAUAAGUGACUUGUCAAGGAAGAAACAUUGACCUGAUGUUGACCUUCUAGUAUCUAAACACCCUCCCCAAUCUACAUCUGAAUAUCCAUUGAGUUGCAUAGUUGAAUCUUUAGGAAACAGUGUGUCUCGACCUGGACAUGUCUUGAAAUAUUUGAGGACUCUACAUACUGCAUUGAAGUGAGUCAUAGUUGGAGCAGAUAAGAACUCACUCAGUUGUUGUGUGUAGAAUGUUAUGUCUAGUCUUGUUGCAUUCAAGUACAACCGUCUACCUACAAGUCUCUUGUAUGCAGGAAUGUCUGAAUAUGGAGAACUUGAAUCCUGAUGAAGCUUGACUGCAGGAUCAGAUGGAGUAGAGAUUGACUUGGAUUCAAUGAAACCUUAGUCUUCCAAAAGAUCAUGACAAUACUUUCUUUGACAUAGCAAUAUUCUUUCUUUUGAAUGAGCUACCUCAAUGCCUAGGAAGUAUUUCAGAUUGCCUAAAUCCUUGAUUUUGAAGGUAUUGUCCAAAGCUAUCUUUUGAUUGAUGUGAAUUUUUUUAAGUCAUUUUCUGCCAAAAUGACAUCAUCAACAUACACCAAUAAGAUAAUAAGAGAAGACGAGCUUGCCUUGAUGAACAAGGAAUGGUCUGAGAUGGCUUGUUGAUGUUGAUGAUUAAGAAGAAACAUUGUAAGUCUUCCAUACCAUCGCCUACUAGCUUGUUAAAGCCCGUAAAGGGAUUUAUAAGCUUACACACUUGAUUGGGUUUGGAUGUUGAUACUCCUAGUGGCACAGUCAUGUAAACAUCUUGUAAACAUCUUCUUGAAGAUCUCCAUGUAGAAGGCAUUAUUUACAUCCAAUUGAUGUAAAUGCCAAUGAUGAAGAGAAGCAAGAGCUAACAUAAAUUUGCCUGUGGUGAGUUUUGCAACUGGACAAUAAGUGUCCAAGUAAUCAAGGCCUUCUAUCUGAUUAUAGCCUUUAGAAACUAAUAUGACCUUAAAUCUAUCAAUGGAGUCAUUUGUCAAAUACUUGAUCUUAUAUACCCACAUGCAGCCAAUAGGCAUGACUCCUGGUGGUAAAUCGACUAAUUUUCAUGUACCUACUUUCUCAAGAGCAUUGAGUUCCAAUUGCAUGACUUGUUUCUAACACUCGUGUUUGGAUGCUUCAGAGUAUGUUUUUGGUUCCGUUUGAGACAUUAGUGAUAGAGAGUAGUGUGAAUGUGAGGGAGAUAACUUUUGAUGAGAAAUGAAUUGAGUCAAAGGAUAAACAAUAUCUUUGAAUUUUUUGUCUGAAGUAGCUGUAGAGUUGCAUUUAUAAUCUUGCAAAUAAGAGGAAUGAUGUCUCAAUCUUGAAGAGGUUUUGGUAGGUGGCUCAGGGUGAGUUGUAGACUGGGGUUGAGUAGAGUUAUAUGAGAUUUGAAUAUGUUGGUCAUGGUUUGGGGUUGGUGUAGGAUGAGGUGAAGGUAUGUUGAUUGAAUCAGUGGUUUGGUCAUUGUUUAAGUUGGAUGUGGAAUGAGGUGAAAUCACGUGGGUUGGAUAAGUGGUGGAAGUUUCAUGUUGAGUAGUGGUGUUUUGAUCAUGUUCAGAAGGAAAAUAGUUUCAUGAUGUAGAAGAGGAUUGGGAUGAAGGUUCAUAAGGAAGUAUGUGUUCAUGGAAUGUAACAUUUCUAGAAACGAAAAUUUCAUUGGUGUGGAAGUCAAGUAAAAGAAAACCAUUUCAUACUAGUUUUGUAUCCCAAGAAGAUACAUUUUCUUGCUUUGGGAUCAAUCUUUGUUCUAUAAGCUUGAAGAGUGGAAACAUAGCAUAGUGAACCAAAAACUUUAAAGGAGUUGAUGUCAGGCAGUUCAUUAUGCAUGACCUGGUAAGGUGACUGGUUUUGAAGGAUAUGUGUAGGCACUCUAUUGAUAAUGUAAGUGGCAAACUGAAGAGCAAACAACCAAUAUGGUUUAGGUAAUUUUGACCGGUAUAAAAGGGCUCAACCAACAUUCAACAAGUGUUGAUGUUUGCUUUCAACCCUUCCAUUUGGUUAGGGUUUUCAACGCAUGAUUUUUGAUGAAGUAUGCCUUUGGAAGCAUAGAACUGAUUAAGUAAGAAUUCAGGGCCAUUAUAUGACCUGGCUAUUUUUGGUGUUUUGUGGAAUUGGUUGAUGUUAAUGAAAUUUUGAACUUGUGUGGAGACCUCAGAUUUUGUUUUCGUGAGAAUGAUCCAUACCAAUCUUGUAUGAUCAUCAAGAAUGGUCAAAAAAUAUUUGUGAUCGUGUAUGGAAGGUAUAACAAAAGAUCCCCAAUUAUCAAAGUGUAAUAAGCCAAAAUUGUUAGAGGCAAUUGAAUAACUUGUAGGAUAAGGUAACUUUCUAUGCUAAGCCAUGUGACAAAUAUUACAAGUAGGAUUAUAUGACAAUAUUUGUGACAUUUGUUUAAUCAGAUACAUGUCCUAAUCUAAAGUGUCAUAGGGCUGACAUGGGAAUUACAAGGUUUGUAGUAAGGGAAUGUGAAAUAGAACUAGUGAUGUGAUAUGCAUUGGCUUGGUCAGUUAGGGACUGAGUGAUGGCGGGUUGAGCAUGGUCAUUGGCCUCAAGAUGUGUGUCCUUUAUAUGUAAUUUAUAUAAGCUAUUCUCCUCACUACCCAAACUAAUCAUCCUCUGGGUGUUCAGUUCUUGCAAUAGACAUUGUUUGACAAAAAAAACAGCAGAGCAGUUUAGAUUUUGACACAGUUUUGAUAUUGAAAUGAGAUUAAGGCUAAAUUUUGGUGCAUAUAAUACAUGAUGAACAUAAAGAAGAGGUGAAAAAACAAUGUUGUUGGCAUAUUGAACUAUGACACAAUUUCCAUUUGGAUGCUUGACUAAAAUUGGCUGAAUUAUAUAGUAAGAACAGAUCAUUUUUAAUGAGGAGCAUAUAUGGUCAUUGGCCCUAGAGUCCAAAAUCCACGAAGAAGAAGAUAAAGUAGGACUGGAAACUGUAUUACACAUGAUACCUGAAACUGGUUCAACAUGUGAGUGACUAGAUGAAACUUGAUUGGUGAUGGAUGUUGGAACUGAAGAAUUCAAGUUAGACUUUUGUAGCAGUGUGAUGAGUUGGUCAUACUGAGCUUGAGAAAUUGAUGCAUGAUUAAUUGGAGCAGAAGGAACCUUUAUCCCACUUGGAGCUAGUGAUGAACAACUUGACUGGCAUUGAUAGAGGAUUUGUUUUUGUUGAAGUCAGGAUAGCCAUACUUUUGAUAGCAAAAAUCAAUGGUGUGUCCACUUCUAUUGCAGAAAGUACAUAUUCUAGCAGAGGUUUUGCCAGUAUUGAAACCAACUUUAUGCUUGAAAUCAGAUCUAUGAGCUGUAUUAACCAAGAUUGAAUUGUCUUCAACAGCUAGAUUUUUUGUGAUUACCUUCUUCUUGAACCACAAGAGAGUAGAUUUGAUGGAUGGCAAAGGGUCCAUGAGCAAAAUCUGAGUUUUCACAACUGAGAAUGUAUCAUUCAACCCUGUAAGAAACUGAAUAGCUUGAUCUUCUAAUCUCUAUUCUUGAGCAUUUUUAAUGGCAUCACAACGACAUCUAUGAUAACAUGUACACAUUGGUAAGGGACGAUGAGAGUUAAGUUCUUCCCAUAAUCCCUUCAACUCAAGAAAAUAUUCCAAUACAGAUUUUAAGUUUUGUUUCAAACUGUUAAUGGAAGAUUUAAGUGUAGCUAUCCUAACACGGUCAGCUUUGGAAAAUCUUUCACGUAAAUUAUCCCAAACAUCCAUCACAUUUUCAUAAAAAACAAUAAUGGAAGCAAUUUGAUCACUAACCGAAUUUAUGAUCCAAGAAUGAACAAGAUGGUUGCAUCUUUUCUAUUGAGCAAAAUUGAGAUCGUCUGCAGGAGGAAUUUGAAUUGAGCCAUCAACGAACUUCAACUUGUUCUUGGCGCCAAGGGCAUCUUUCAUUGACUUGUGUCAUGCAAGAUAGUUUGAACCAUCAAGCUUUGGAGUAACAUUGACUGAAUUGGUUCCUUCACUCGGAUGGACAUAGUAUAUUGAAUCAAGAUCAACUUGAUUUGAUGGUGCAAGGCGCAGAGGCAUAUUUGGAUCGAUGACGAAGAAGAAGAAUACGAAACAAAGAUGAAUAGAAAAGAGGAAACACACUACAAUUACUGCAAUUAACCGAAACGGAAGUUGCAGAGAAGAAAAGGAUGAAAAACAUAAUCAACAAAGAAGAUUGAAUGAGAUGAUGUUUUGGAUAUCGAUUCUGUUGGUACAUUCACUAUGUGCCAUGAAGCACUUAAAUAUCUCAAGAAAGGGGGACCAGGAAGGGACUCUUCUAGUGGCGGAGGAGUAAUAAUGAACCUUAGUGUUACCCUGCAUUACACAGCAACUUGGUAUCAAAUUCACGUAUCUGCAGCUAAGGCAGCUGUUGAUGCCAUUACAAGGAACUUGGCACUGGAAUGGGGAACAGAUCAUGAUAUUAGAGUCAAUGGGAUUGCACCAGGUCCAAUAAGUGGCACUCCUGGCAUUAGUAAAAUGGAUCCUGAAGGAGUCGGUAGCAAAUCCAGAGACGAAAUGCCUCUAUAUAAACCUGGUGAGAAAUGGGAUAUUGCAAUGGCUUCUCUCUACCUAGUAUCAAAUGCAGGUUAGCAAAUUUGUCUGGUUACCCAAAUAUUUUAUUUUAUUUUAUUACUUCAAUCUUGUAACAAGGUUAAGAUGCAGCUUACUAACUUUGUGUAUGUUCAUUAUAUGGCACAAUACAAGGUAUCUAGCUCCAUGUUGAAACACGUUCAUAUGCACUAGUGUUUUAAAUAUUGGACCCAACUAAUCGGUUGAAUCGGUCAAAACGGGAACUAAAGAGGUGUGGUUUGAUUGUUGGAUCGGAUAUGCUAUUCAACCAGUAGAAACCGACUAGAACCGAUAAAAAUCAAUGAACCGUCAGUUUUGGAAAUUCGGCGGAUAUAAUAAUGUUUUUUUCAGACAAAAUGACACCGUUUUGAUAAAAUUUUAAAAAAUAAAAUAAAAUAAAAAUAUAAUUAUACUUUGAUUAAAAAAAAAUUUAAUAAUUUUUCUUAUUUGUAAUUAGAUUUUGUUCAAAAUUUAUUCGGAGUUGUAUUUUGUACUAUUUUGUUGUGUGUGAUGAUUAUAUUUAUAAUUUUAACUUAAAUAUACUCUGAAAUUUUGUAGGUGUCGUAAUAUUUUUUAGAGAUCGAGUCAAUCGAUUCGAUUGAUUUAAUAAAUAGUAUAUAGUUUUGUUAUAGAGACCGAUUUGUUUAACUGGUUAUCCGAUUUAAUUCGAUUUAGUCAUGCAGUUCGAUUGAUCCAGCACCCUCACUGAUUUGAUAACCGGUUCGGUUUUUAAAACAUCAUGCAUGUGGAGUUAAUCUGCAAACCUUGAUAUGAGACUUAAUGGUGUAUUUUGCUGGGAUCAUCUGAAAGCCUUGAAACACAUUCCUUCAAAGUCAGGGAGAAGUAUGAUUAUUGAAAUUUCAGAAUAUAGUUUUUGUUAAAGAAUAUAUUAAAUUAGUACCUUUUCUUCUAUUUCAUUUUCAUUUUUACUCAGUGCUGAGUAAUAAGCAUCUAGUUGUCUUGAAAAUGGUUGCAUUUAUUUACCCUAGGUAUUUGUAACAGUGAAUUAUUUUAUUCCUUGUUUAUUUGUCUAUGGAAACUUAAAAUUUGUUUAAA